CCUACGGGCGGCAGCAGUGGGGGAUAUUGCACAAUGGGGGGAACCCUGAUGCAGCGACGCCGCGUGGGUGAAGAAGCGCCUCGGCGCGUAAAGCCCUGUCAGCAGGGAAGAAAAUGACGGUACCUGAAGAAGAAGCCCCGGCUAACUACGUGCCAGCAGCCGCGGUAAUACGUAGGGGGCAAGCGUGAUCCGGAUUUACUGGGGGGCCAGGGGGCGCAGACGGCGAGGCAAGCCAGGAGUGAAAGCCCGGGGCCCAACCCCGGGACUGCUCUUGGAACUGCGUGGCUGGAGUGCAGGAGGGGCAGGCGGAAUUCCUGGUGUAGCGGUGAACUGCGUAGAUAUCAGGAGGAACACCGGUGGCGACGGCGGCCUGCUGGACUGCAACUGACGUUGAGGCCCGACAGCGUGGGGCGCAAACCGGAUUAGAUACCCCGGUAGUC
rnacentral:rRNA from 1 species